GACGAACGCUGGCGGCGCGCCUAACACAUGCAAGUCGAACGGUGAAGCGGAGCUUGCUCCUCGGAACAGUGGCGGACGGGUGAGUAACACGUGAGCAACCUGGCUCUAAGAGGGGGACAACAGUUGGAAACGACUGCUAAUACCGCAUGACGUAUCGGGAUGGCAUCUUCCUGAUACCAAAGAUUUUAUCGCUUAGAGAUGGGCUCGCGUCUGAUUAGAUAGUUGGCGGGGUAACGGCCCACCAAGUCGACGAUCAGUAGCCGGACUGAGAGGUUGAACGGCCACAUUGGGACUGAGACACGGCCCAGACUCCUACGGGAAGCAGCAGUGGGGGAAAUUGGACAAUGGGGGCAACCCUGAUCCAGCGACGCCGCGUGAGGGAAGAAGGUUUUCGGAUUGUAAACCUCUGUUGACGGAGAAAAAAAUGAUGGUAGCCGUUUAGAAAGCCACGGCUAACUACGUG
rnacentral:rRNA from 1 species